CGGGUUUGAACGCAUUCGGACCGAGGUGGAAACACCUUUUCUAGCAAUAGCCGUUUGCG
rnacentral:rRNA from 1 species